rnacentral:rRNA from 1 species
AGAGUUUGAUCCUGGCUCAGAACGAACGCUGGCGGCGUGCCUAAUACAUGCAAGUCGAGCGAGAAAGUCUCUUCGGAGGCGAGUAAAGCGGCGCACGGGUGAGUAACACGUGGGUAACCUGCCCUUGAGUCUGGGAUAACCCGGGGAAACCCGGGCUAAUACCGGAUACGGCUGCGGGGUCUUCGGGUCCUGCAGAGAAAGAUGGCCUCUUCAUGAAUGCUAUCUCUCAAGGAUGAGCCCGCGUCCUAUUAGCUAGUUGGUGGGGUAACGGCCCACCAAGGCGAAGAUGGGUAGCUGGUCUGAGAGGAUGACCAGCCACACUGGAACUGAGACACGGUCCAGACUCCUACGGGAGGCAGCAGUAGGGAAUUUUGGGCAAUGGGCGAAAGCCUGACCCAGCAACGCCGCGUGGGUGAUGAAGGCCUUCGGGUCGUAAAGCCCUUUUCUUGGGGAGGAAGCCCUGACAGUACCCAAGGAAUAAGCCUCGGCUAAUCACGUGCCAGCAGCCGCGGUGAUACGUGAGAGGCAAGCGUUAUCCGGAUUUACUGGGCGUAAAGGGCGUGUAGGCGGUCUGGCAAGUCUUUUGUGAAAUCUCCCGGCUUAACUGGGAGGGGUCAAAGGAUACUACCAGACUUGAGGAUAGCAGAGGGAGAUGGAAUUCCCGGUGGAGCGGUGAAAUGCGUAGAUAUCGGGAGGAACACCAGUGGCGAAGGCGGUCUCCUGGGCUGUUCCUGACGCUGAGGCGCGAAAGCGUGGGUAGCAAACAGGAUUAGAUACCCUGGUAGUCC